CUCCUCUUAGGGUUGCACUUGGAGAGUUUCCAGUACUCUACCAGUCUUGACUACAGGAGAAUGAGUCAAGCGGAGGAUUACCCAUUCCAUUCCUAGCUUGCCCAGUGGCUAGUGAGUGGAAACCAAUCUGCUACAAGU